GGAGAAGUACCCAAGAGGCUGAAGGGACACCCCUGGAAAGGGUGCAGGUCGGUAACACGGCGCGAGGGUUCAAAUCCCUCCUUCUCCG
rnacentral:tRNA from 2 species